AAAAAAACAAUAAUAAUAAUAAUAAUAAUAAUAAAAACAAAACGGACGGCGGCCGUCUUGCGCCGCCACU